UAUCUUCUACCAUCGGCCCUUUGGGGAAAGUCGUCCUUGCGUUCCAAUCCUCCGUCUAACAGCUUCGAUCUCUGCCGUCGACCGAUCAUCGUUGUUACAGUAACCAACUAAUCUAACUGUAUACAUUAACUAAUGACUAAUUAACCAAUUAGAUAAUACAUUUGACCAUCGAUUUAUAUCUGAGUUGUUCUAAUACCUCCCCUCCCCCCUUCAAGCUUUAGCUUGGGAGUAAAUAUUUUUAAUUCACAUAUUGACUAAAGUAUAUAAGUUAUUUUAUUUUCACGAACUGGUUUGGUUAGGGUUGUAUGUAUGCUAGUUGUCUUUUAAUUUCUAUGAAAAUUAAUUUUAUAAU
rnacentral:lncRNA from 1 species